rnacentral:misc_RNA from 1 species
UGCCUGGAGGACUGGUCUGCAGCUA